rnacentral:rRNA from 1 species
UACGAAGGGGGCUAGCGUUGCUCGGAAUUACUGGGCGUAAAGGGCGCGUAGGCGGAUGUUUAAGUCAGAGGUGAAAGCCCAGGGCUCAACCUUGGAACUGCCUUUGAUACUGGGCAUCUUGAGUAUGGGAGAGGUGAGUGGAACUCCGAGUGUAGAGGUGAAAUUCGUAGAUAUUCGGAAGAACACCAGUGGCGAAGGCGACUCACUGGCCCGGUACUGACGCUGAGGUGCGAAAGCGUGGGGAGCAAACAGG